rnacentral:lncRNA from 12 species
AUGAAUGUGACAUUCAGAGAAAACGUCUCCGGUAAAGGUCACCCGAGGGAGGUGGCGUUCUCGCUGGCAGCACCUGUCCUUCGAGACGAGGUGCCUGUGCUCCCGUCCCUCGAGCUGCCCAUCCCCACCGGCUGCCUCGUCUCCACAAACCCCGCAUCUAGAAAGGACCCGCCUCGUUUGUCUGCUCAUGGCCCCCACAGGCCAUCAGGACGCAGGGAUGUCCUACCUGGCGGGACACCCGGGAGGGCGGAUCCCGGGCACAGCCACCCUGAAGUCAUGGCUCGGGGGUGUCUCUUCGGGGGCGGGAAAGAGGGGCGGCGGCCAGGGAGGCCGAAGCCCGCAGUGAGAAGUCGUGUGCUGCGUGCUCAGAGCCCUGCGUCCGUCCGGAGGACAGUGUGACACUCGCAAAAUGACUCGCCCGGGAAGGUGCGGGGUUCAGACCUGCACCGCUCAGAUUCCGAAGGCCUCGCAGCCGCUGGCUUCUCUGUUCCCGCGAAGGCCGGCACCUGCAGGCUCCGCCCCGGCUGGUCCUCCGUGCGGGCGCGCUCCGGGAAGGCAGGGCGUGGGGACGCUGCCACUGGGGCUGCCACCUGUCUUGGUCCUGCUGCUCCUGCCCGUGUUCCUGGGCAGGUCCCGCCCAUUCUGCCCCCACCUUACCCCGACUUAACCGCGCAUGACCAUGCCUUCUGCCUCAGUUUCCUUGCUCUGCCCUCUAAUUCCCAAAGGGACUGACUGCCAACCUAAUAAUUGCUAGCAUUUCGACGGUUCCUCCUACUUUCUAGGCUCUCCAGACAUCAGUUCACUCAAUUCUCAGCAACUCUUGAGGUAGGAUACUCUUAUCCCCAUCUUACAGAUGGAGAAACUGAGGCAGUGAGAGUUUAGAAACCUUGCCCCAGCCUCGCACAGCUGGCCGGUUUCAAAGAUCCAAACCUAGGUAGCCCGUGCUUUAGCUAUUGGGAGCUCGAGAGCCACUCUACGCCCGUCCUCCUCGCCCCUGCCUCUCUCUUCUUUAGAUCCUAUCUCCUUCCAUCAGUGGAUGGAUUACCCAGCACCAUGAGCUGGGCGGCACCUGCCAGAUGCCCCCACUGCGGAUGGUGGUGAUGGCGACAGGAAGACAGGCUGCCUCUUCUCUCAGAAGGUCGUGUCUCUGACUCCCCUUGGGGGGCAACGGUGGUCUUUGAUGAUUGGUGAUCGUGGACUUGCCUUGGAGCUGUCAGCUCUUGGUGUCUCAAAGAGAGUUGAGGGGGGCAGUUCUAGGGCCUGGGGUCUGCGGUCUGAGCGCCGUGGUUCGGGGCUGAGGGAAUUGGGCACCUGGUUUCUCCGUCAGGCCUCUGGUUCCUCCUUCGUGAAAUGGGCACAGCGGUAGCCCCCGGCCCUGCACACAAGGAUGGUAGUGAGA